rnacentral:lncRNA from 1 species
GCAGAGCAGCGGCUGAGGCUCAGGCGCCGGGAAGAAGUUGACAAAGGGACUUGACUAAACAUGAAUGCGUAUUUAUAGAUGCGAGCUCCAUCGAGAUCUAGAGAUAUCCCGCUCUCCCUGGCUCCUUCCACUCCUGCCAUUUCAUUUUUAUCGCUCCUUUAAGUGGAGGGCAGAUAAAAAAAAAAUUCCUGCACGGUGUGGGUAAUCGCCGCGUUAUUUACAAUCUAGUUACUCUGCAGCAGACGGGGAAGAAAACUCUGGGGCUCCUUCCCUUCGGAUGGAUAGAGAGGGCGGCCGGGCGGCGAGCUGCAAGAAGGAGGUCAGGGUGGGCUUGCGGGAGCUCGGGGGCGACCUGGAGGGAGCGGGAGCCCCCGGCACCGCCCCCGCGCCCCCCCCCCGCCCCCGCCGCACCCCCCGGGGCGGGCGCCGGGCCGCGGUGACCGCCGGCUGGUGCGCUGCCCUCGCCUCCCCCAUUGUUCCUACUGUCUUUUUGCCUUUUGUUAUUUGCACUCGCAUUGUGUUGUUUGUCUCUGAAGCCGCCUCAUGACCAGCAAAGGGAUUUCACCUCGUCCUUGAGAGCAACACGGGGAGCGCGAGCGAGCGGGCGAGCGAGAGACGGGGGGAGAGAGAGGGACACGCGCGCGCACACACACACACACCGGCACACACGCACACACACAGACACACACACACAGAGUGAAAAAGGCGAGCCACCAAAACCCAUCUCCAGUCUCCUCCCGGGGGCCCCCAGCCCGCCUCUGUGCCACUUUGCAUCCCACGCCGGAGGAGGCAUUAACGAGACCGGGUAAGGUGCGUGAAUCGCUGCGUUUUAACUUUGUUGUUCGUCCCGAUGUUGUUGUGGGCAGACCUCCAAGGCGCAGAGCUCCCCUCUGCCGCUCGCCGGGCCCGCCACUCAGCACUCCUUCCCGGCUCCAGCUGGAGAGCCGCGGAGGAGGGAGGGGGCCGCCGCCGGAGUUUCCUCAAGUACAGAGGGAGGGGGACUGGGCUGGGGGUGGCGGAGAGGUGGGAGGCGGCCCGAGGCGCGGAGUGGCCCUGUCAUCCCCGGGGGCGGCUGGCCGGGGGACCCUGGAGCGCCGGCUUGGACCCCGACCCGGAGACGGGAUAACUUUCUAUUUUUGUUGGGAAGCCUGCGUACUGUUGCUGGUAUUGUUUUGUAAGUGGUGGCGGUGGAGGUGGUUGAUGCGAGAGGAGAGUGCGGGGAGAACCCUGGGCUGUGCUGGGCAUCGCGGCCAAUGUCCAAGGCCAGACCCUAAAAGUUGGACAAAGCCCCUUAACCCUUCUAGGAUAUCAGAGCGACCCCUGGCCCACCCCCUAACCUUAGUCACCCCCACCUCCCGACUCUUUCGUCUUUUUGUUUCGCUUUCUGCAAUCCUUCUCCCUACCACUCCCCCUCCCUCCCGCCCGGAAUUUCUGAAACAAGUCUCAUCCUUCAGGAUUCUAGGGAUUUCAGAGACCGGAAGCUUUAAUUCUAAUUGCAACUACUUUUUCCCCCCACCUCACUCAGUGUACCAAGUGAAGACCACUCACGUGUUGUGUCACUUUAAGCGCGGGUUUGGGAAAUCUCGCUUGCACUUUGGGGCUACAGCAAUAAGAAGCAAUGAAAAGAGGUUAUACGAGUUGAAAUCAAAUUGGAUUUGGAAAUGUUUGCGUUGGAGAGCAGCAGUUUGUUGAGUAUUGAUCGGAUGCACACGAAGCACUGUUUACAUAUUUUAUUAGUCAUUUUCCCUACACUUUGCAAAGCGACUAUAUUAAUAAAUAGAUUGACCCUGGUGAAUAUCUGAAGACGCUGGUUUCUGUGACUAAAUUCAGAAUGUGAUGAUGAAUGUGAAUUCAUUUUAAUGUGUUCCCUUCUCAGCUAAAGCAGGUCAAGACGAGGAAUCCUGUGAAUAUGCAGAGCCCUACACUCGGUGCCAGGCAGUCCAGGCACUCUGGGUGGCAGUCAACUGUACUUUCUUACAAAAGUUUAGGGAUUUGCUGGAACCCACUUGAGAUCCUCACAUACCCAGAUAGCCAAAGGACUUUGUCAAGGAAGGCAUAAGGAGGUGUCCCCAGGGACUGCCUUCUGGCUCAGCAGAGUUCUUUAGCCAAGGGCAGGACCAAGGGAAAUCUGUGGGAUUUGGGGCAGUAAGUGUGGGAAUCUGCAAAGGGACUGGACAGUGAUUUGUUUCCUUGCUUUUCAUAAAUAAUGGCCCCUAGUACCCUGAAAACACACACACAGACACAAACAGGCCAAUGAAGUAGGCACAUGUGAGAUUUGUAGGCAAUGGACAUUUCCAUCAGAAAAACCAGAGGAAAAUUUUUGAUCAGGAUUACGGGAGUGAGGCUCGAUGGCCAAGAGUGAUUAGGUUAAGGGCCAGAUGGCUUUAAAGUAUACGGAAAUGUUUUUCAAGUUUGACUUUUAUAGCAUUUAAAAGGAGGACGAUUUCUUAGAGCCUUUACAGAACUGCUAAAUUUUGAUCUGUCUAAUUUUAAAGGAAUUCAGCUGUAUGAGAAUUGCUGUUAGCUCAGAUAGGGAAGGAAUCUGGUUUCAAAUGCAGAUACAUGGAACAAAGUUUCUAGGGGUGCUUCUUCCUGAUUUAAAUAUAGCUCCCAGGCAGAAGCCUAGAUAAAUUCAGCCACAAUGAUUUAAAAUCAUAAGUACUUACAGUGGAAGUUCUUUUAGGCACUGUGCAAAGUUCUCCUGCAAAUUAUGCCAUCAACUGUUUAUUCCUCAGAACUAUACAAGAUAAAAAUCAUAAGCAUCACUUAAAACUGAUGCAAUACAGCCUUAAAUCCUUAAACUGCUAGGGAUUGCUUUUGUUUGCCUAAAAGGUAGAUCUUUCAUCACAUGAGUUGUUUAAAAACAUUUAAUUGUGGGGGUGGGAAGGGAUGUGCAUAAUUAUUUAGUUAUUUGUGUUAAUUACAUAGUAGCAUACUUGCUUGAAAUUCUUUCUUUUUUCCCCCUUUUCUUUCCAGUGAUCUCUCUUCUAACAACCUUGUUCCUGAAGAAUCAACAGUUUUUUCUUGCUGUGGGUUUAAAAAAAUUCAUUUUGUAGCCUUUUUGAGUGGGUAGUAUUGAUCCAAUCUGACACAGACUUGCAAGUGUAAACUCUUAAUACAGGAAAAACUUCAAUUCUUAAUACGGAAAGCUUGUAUUAGUUUUGUUGUUGAGCUUAAACAGUUCUGGUUGAAUGGCAUGUUGUAUAUAGAAUUCAAAACUCCAAAACCUGUUUGGUAAAUAACUAGGCAUUUGAGGUCCAAUGGCUAAUUCAAAUUAAGUUAGUUCUAUACAUGUAAGUGCACAUCCUGUUUAGACUGACACGUGGUUUGGUAAAAGAAAAAAAAUGAAUAUACACUUGGAAAGAUGCUAUCUGUGGAGUAUAUAAAUAGUAAAUAGCAAAAGAGUGAAGUUUAUACUCAGGUAUGUUGUCAUCUUUUUGGUUGUCCUCAGUGGGGGUGAGUUAUGAGUGAUAAGGAGAAUUUAAAUUUCUAAAUUUACCUUUUCCAGUUAAAGGAAUGAAUUUAAAUGCUUAAAGAAUUUUUUUUUUUUUACUUACAAAGCAAGUUUAAAAUAUGAUCUAAUGCUUACAGUAUGUACUACCUUCUUGAAAAGCUCUGUUCUUUUUCUGAGUGAUAAGUAAUCAUUGAUUUGAGGGUAUGUUCAGAUUAUAUAAAAAAGUAAAACUUACAGGACAAAAUUUAUGUUUCCUAAUCUCCUAAAAUACACUGGAUUUCAAAUAACGGAGAGUUCUAAUGUUGAAUACUGUUUAGAUUUCCAGCAGGUAUAAUUGUUGGAUAUAAUUGAUUGGCAUAACCUGGAUGAUUCACCCAAUAUCCAAUCAACUUCAGUGGUAGAGAAUGCUAUAAUUGGAGUUUUGAGAGUAACCUGGAAACUUAUUUGUCUAGGCCUGAAGUCAAAUGCAUUCCCUCAUGCACUGGUCAAAAAUUUUUAGUCUGAGAAAUGAAGAUUUAUUUUAAAGGCGAAGAAAGUGCUUGGCUGUUUCAAAUAAACUAUAUCCUGAACUUAGAUUUGUAGAUAGUUAAUGAAAUAAAAGUCCAAUUUUGUUCCAAACAUUGUUUUAAAACACCCAUUUGUAAAUUGUCUGCAUUUGGUUUUCAUAUGUUAAUGAUUUGGGAUCUGAAACUUAUUUCAGAAAGGCAUUUUGGUUUAUCUUAAAAAACACCACACAAAACUGUCUAAACAACUCUGUAAAUAAACUGUUCCAAAUGCCUCAAUUUGAUGAAUGAAUUAAAGAAUUAUGGUUCUUAAUCCAAUUAUGAUCAGUCUGGUUAUUCCAUUUCCCAUUUGGGGGAGCUUGGGGAGUUGGAAUAGUAAAUGAUUCUCAAAUGUGAGUGGGGUCUUUGUUGUUUACUUUGUGUGUGUGAUGUAACGUAAAUAAUCACUCAUACCUAAUAUUUAUGAGAGGGAUUUCUGAUGUGGAGAAGUAAUUUCAAGAUCUUAAAUUAACCAAGAGUUCGUUUGCAUGAAAAGUUGCCAUUAAUAAAGGAGUAAAGUGAAGUUUUUAAAAAUAUGAAGCAAAGAUCUAACCUUUUGCUUAAAUAUAAUGAAUUUUGAUAUUUAAGAGGGGAGAAAUGGAGUGCUUAAGGCUCAGUAGAAGGGCAGACAAUCAGGCACUUUUAGUUUGUU